UUGCAAAUAUAUCAUGUUUUCUCACGCGAAACGUAACGACAACAGCGUCUAAUAUUAGCAAACGCAAAUUCAAACUGCGUAGAUUUCUAAAUGGUAUUCUGGUAACCAGAUUUGGAUAUAGAUUGAUAGAUUUUAUUGCAACCAUUAUCAAUAUUUUCAAACGGCAUUAGAAGCGAGACUAUGAAGACUCUCAUUUUGUUCUUCCUUCUUCUGGCCGCGGUCGUUCUUGUUCAAGGUGGGGUUGAAUUUGGAGGCAUGCGUGGAUUUGGAGACGGCGGCGGAAAAUCUUAUAGAUCUGGCCACUAUAAGUUCCCGCAUCGGCAGCUCAAUUGUAUGUGCUAUAUCAGGGAGUGCCCAUUGGAGACACUUUAUGUGGGCCCCUGCCCAAGAGGCACAAAUCAAAUAUUGUGCUGUACAGAUACAGGAUAACUUGACUACUUCUGUUUGGUGGCCCCUAUAAGAAGCCAAGAGGUCAAAUUUAAACAACACUGACAAAGGACUAAACACAGAUGCCCCUAAAGAAGGCUAAGCAGAACUAACUGAACGAAACCAUGCAAAAAUGCAAAAAAGGGGAUCAUGGAAGGAAGUUUUUAAAAAGUUUUUCUACUUUUAACUCUGGCAACCCUUAAAAGAGGCUAAGCUAAACCAUCCAAACAGAACUGAAAGAGGACAAUAUAAGAAUGUUACAGACCAAGUUUGUUCAAUUAGUUCAUGUGAAGAAAUAGUUUAACUGUAUAUUAUUUAUUAAUUCCUAUUUAAGCUCUGGCAGACCCUAAAAUGGACCAUCUGAAUAAGCUUGAUAGAGGAAUAAACAUUGAUUCUACAUAGCUAGCUUUCUGAUGAAAAGUUAUCUAAUUUUUUUUUUACUUCCAGCCUUAGUGAGUCAAUAAGGGGCCAAGUAAAUUCUUUUGAACAAACUAAAGAAGAAAUAACCAUACAAGGAUGUUACAGACGAACAAAGUCUGGUGAAGAUCUGUUUGUUGGUUUAUGAGAAGAAGUACCUCAAAAGCUUUCUUUUCUAUUUUUAGCUCUGGUCGCUUCUAAAAGGGACCAGGCAUAACCAUUUAAGGUUUAGGAGUAUAUCAC